AAUAAACCUUAUCUCUCUGAAGUUGCAGUGGAGCAGGUUAAAAUUACAAACCUUAUCUCCUUAAAGUUGUAGUGGAGCAGACUGAAGAUAGCUAAUCCUAUCUCUCUGAAGUUGCAGUAGAGCAGAUUAAAACAACGAGUCCUAUACCUCUGAAGUUGCAGUAGGUCGGAUCAAAUCUACCAUGGUAAAUCUUAUCUCCUUGAAGUUGUAGUGGAGUAGAUUGAAG
rnacentral:lncRNA from 1 species